UACAGAGGUCCCAAGCGCUACUGAGAAUCACUGGGUUUAAAGGGUGCGUAGGUGGUCCGUUAAGUCAGUUGUGAAAUCCCCGGGCUCAACUCGGGAACUGCUUCUGAUACUGGCGGACUUGAGGCCAGUAGGGGUCACUAGAACUGACGGUGGAGCGGUGAAAUGCGUAGAUAUCGUCAGGAAUGCCGGUGGUGAAGACGGGUGACUGGGCUGGUUCUGACACUGAGGCACGAAAGCGUGGGGAGCGAACGGG
rnacentral:rRNA from 1 species